rnacentral:rRNA from 1 species
CCCUUAGACGUUCUGGGCCGCACGCGCGCUACACUGACACAAGCAACGAGCUUUCCUUUACCGAAAGGUAUGGGUAAUCUUUUGAAACUGUGUCGUGCUGGGGAUAGAUCCUUGCAAUUUUUGAUCUUAAACGAGGAAUUCCUAGUAAGCGCGAGUCAUCAACUCGCGUUGAUUACGUCCCUGCCCUUUGUACACACCGCCCGUCGCUACUACCGAUUGAAUGGCUUAGUGAGGCCUCAGGAUCCGCGCUUAAUGUGUGGAGAAUUUGGACAAACUACGUCAUUUAGAGGAAGUAAAAGUCGUAACA